AGUGACGCCCCCGAGCCCAGCUGCAGAAGAAACCGCCACCUCCAAUGCACAAGGUGUCACAUUUGAAAAGAAACCUGAGCCCCAGGGAGGCGGCGCAGAGCGACCCGGGCCCGGUAAGCGCUAACUGCGCGGCAGGGAGCUGGGCAGCGCUGGAGAACCGGGAGAGCUCCACCGCUGAACAUCCUAGCGACCUGAUUCUGGGAUCUCGGCUCCACGCUCCCUUCGCAAUUUUCAGAUUUCUCCCCCUUGAUUAUCAUCCCAAAACGGAGCCUUUAUACCAGGAGAAGGUGCCUGAGCUGGGACAACCAGGACUUUCCCGGGCACCCAAGAUGCGCUCAAUUAGAAAACGGUGGACCAUCUGCACUAUAAGUCUACUCCUGAUCUUUUAUAAGACAAAAGAAAUAGCCAGAACUGAGGAGCACCAAGAGACGCAACUCAUCGGAGAUGGUGAACUGUGUUUGAGCAGAUCACUUGUCAACAGCUCUGAUAAAAUCAUCCGGAAGGCUGGCUCCACCAUCUUCCAACAUUCUGUACAAGGCUGGAAAAUCAAUUCUUCUUUAGUCCUGGAGAUAAGGAAGAACAUUCUUCGUUUCUUAGAUGCGGAACGUGACGUAUCUGUGGUCAAGAGCAGUUUUAAGCCUGGUGAUGUCAUACACUAUGUGCUGGACAGACGCCGGACACUAAAUAUUUCUCACAAUCUGCAUAGCCUCCUGCCUGAAGUUUCACCAAUGAAAAACCGCAGGUUUAAGACCUGUGCAGUUGUUGGAAAUUCCGGCAUUCUGCUAGACAGUGGAUGUGGAAAGGAGAUUGACAGCCACAACUUUGUAAUAAGGUGCAAUCUAGCUCCUGUGGUGGAGUUCGCUGCUGAUGUGGGGACUAAAUCAGAUUUUAUUACCAUGAAUCCAUCAGUUGUGCAAAGAGCAUUUGGAGGCUUUCGGAAUGAGAGUGACAGAGAAAAAUUUGUGCAUAGACUCUCCAUGCUGAAUGACAGCGUCCUUUGGAUUCCUGCCUUCAUGGUCAAAGGAGGAGAGAAGCACGUGGAGUGGGUUAAUGCAUUAAUCCUUAAGAACAAACUGCAAGUGCGAACUGCCUAUCCAUCACUUAGACUUAUUCAUGCAGUCAGAGGGUAAGUGGCUGGAAAGGACCAGUCUGUCCUUGACACAAUAGAACGUGUAACUAAAGAAUGUCUCUGAGGCAUGGAGCAUCGCUAAAUCUUCCGAAAUAAACAACGAUUUCAUUAUAAUGAGUUCUAUAUCUUCAAAUAUGCAUUUUAUGUACUUAGUCUUUCUGCUCAACCACAUUGAAAAAACAGAUUGCUGAAUUUGACAUUCGUGCCUGCUCAUGAACAGACUACUGAUUUUGGUUUAUUUUUCCUUCAAUAAAAGAUACUGGCUGACUAACAAAGUUCCUAUCAAAAGACCUAGCACAGGUCUCCUCAUGUAUACACUUGCCACCAGAUUCUGUGAUGAAAUUCACCUUUAUGGAUUCUGGCCAUUUCCCAAGGAUCUGAAUGGAAAAGCUGUCAAAUAUCAUUACUAUGAUGACUUAAAAUAUAGAUACUUUUCCAACGCCAGUCCUCACAGGAUGCCAUUAGAAUUUAAAACAUUGAAUGUGCUACACAAUAGAGGAGCUCUAAAACUGACCACAGGAAAGUGCAUGAAGCAAUAAGGCACACUUUGGAGGAUAAAAACUGAACACAGACUUUGUUUUUUUAAGAUGCUUCUGGAGAUUUAGAAUCAGGAUCCAAAAUAAGGCUGGGAUUCAGCAUCCACCACUUGACUGAGUAGCUGAAAUGGAAGUCUGUGUGAAUUCACCACCAGCUGAUGAAAAACCUGCAAAGUGCUCUGACUACAACAUAUUCUGACUUCAAGGGUCCUAGUAAGUGCCACUUCCAUGAAGAAUACAGUUUGAAUGUAUUAUCAGUAGUGUUUACAAGAUUCAACAGUGCACUCAACAUCAGUUAGCAAAGCAAACAUGUUCAUCACUGUGGGGCAGCCACUGUAAUGCCAAGCACACUGGAAGAGGAACCCAGGAGCACAGCUCAGCCCUUGGGACUUGAAAACAUCCUUAGUAGAAAUGAAGAAGGAGAGAGUUCAAGCAGUGAAAUCCAUGACAUGAAGCAACUUGAGGAAACGCUUUCAGUCAGGACACUGAGAAUGGUCAUGUUUACGUUUUGCUUAUAUUUCUUGUUUGUCUUCUGACAUUUAUUUUGGUUUGGGUUUGGGUGCUUAGAAAUUCAUUUGAGAUACAGAAAUGGGAAACACAUGUGAAUGAGAAAAACGAACAUCAAACAGUCCUUUCUAAAGUCCUUAUAUAUUUUUAAACAACAGUCACACCAAACUUAUGCUUGUUCGUUUGUUUGUUUGUUUUACUUUGCACAACUCUAAAUCUCUGGAUUAUAGAUCAAUGGUGUAGUGGGUACCAGCCAAACUAUACCACUCGAUAUUAGUAGACUAUUAUGAAGGAGUGAUAUUUGAAAAAUGGUAAAAAUAGCAGAAAAGUUUCACUCUUGGUACCAAAGAUUAUAUCAUGUUCCUACACAGUAAGCCACUCUCCUGUUAUAAAGAGAAUAUAUUAUUAACAUGAACACAUUUAUAUGAAGUUAAUAGGAAACUCAGCUCUACACAGUUAAAAAUUUCAAGUUCAAACAUUACUUUUAAUUUACUUCUUUGACAUUUCAUCAUAAUUUUGUGGAAAUCCAUGGCCAGGUAGAUUGUUGGAUUGAAGUAGCUGAAAUGAGACUUCUCAUUCAGUAAAAUCUUCUUGGCUAUUCAGGUGCAGAGAUCAAUAUGAAGCACUUACUAUUAUUUUAAAAUUUCUCUCCACAAAAUAAGAUGAUUAACUGAGUGUUGUUUUCAUAACAGGUAAUUAAUUCAAAGCAGUUUAACAAUAACACAUCAACAAUACGUCAAAUGAAUUCAGUUAACAAGGAUUUUUCUGUAGUUAAGUACAGUUCCAUUAUGACUGCAUUUUUUAAAACAACAUGAACUUACUCAUAGAGUGACUUACUGACUUACAUACGUGACUGAAUUGACUGGUGGCCAGGCUUUCUGUUUCUUUUGAAAGCAGAACUAUAUUCUUACUUCUGCUUUUGCCUGCAGCAAUUUAACAUGACUUCCUGUUUCUUGGGGAAGGCAAUCAGAAGAAAGCAGAAAUGGCAUGAAAAAUGUGUAUGUUUUGUUUUUCUAAGUCAGGCAAUCUAAAAUGAAUGAAGAGCACAGCAAAGGUAUACAUAUAUAUUAUAUAUGUAUUCAUAUUCUGGACAAGGAUAGUCAUGUAGUACAGUUACCAAAUUUUUAAUAUUAGCUGCAGUGUUUUUUAAAACAGUGAUAGAAUCUCAGGAUAAAAAUAACAGUUUCUGAGAAUCCAUGUAUCUAUCAGAAAGGAAAAGAGAAUGGAUAUGGGCAUUUCAUAACCAGUAUAUACCUUUAUCAUUAAAUUUCAUUUUUAUUUCGCAAUUCAAUACAUUUAAUAAAAAGUGUUAAAUAUGUGUUAUGUAGAUGUUAAAUUGAAAGUCUAAUACACUGGAUGUGUGAUCAUUGGAUAAUAUAUAAAACUUAUUUUGAACUCUAUGCAGAUCUGUGUUCCCACCAACAGCUAACAUGAAUUCCUUAGAAAUCCAGAGGUUGCAAGUAAAUUCUGGCAAGUAAAUUCUAUCUUGGCACUCAUUCAAAGUAUGUAUCUGAAAGCAGCAGCAUACCAUCUUGACUGAAAUUUUAAGAAGGGAAAAAAAGAUGUGUUUAAACAACAUUUUGGCCACAGCAAGCACAGCUUAGCCAUUCACUUUUGCAUGCAUUGAUGUCUAUCUCUUACAUGCAUUGAGUAGUGCCUUUUAAUGUCUUUGCAUUGAUUCUUCACCCUCUGCUUUGUGUUUCCUAAAUGCUUGCCCAGUUAGAGAAAUGUUCAGUAUCAAAAGGGCUUCAGAUUUGAGAGAUAACUACUUUUGUUCAUCUCAGGGAACUUUCAGUACAUAAGAAUGGAUUCAAUUAAAGACAUUUAGCACUCAAAGAGGAAAUAUUGUGUGAGAUUAUUUCAUCCUCACACACACACCCUUUCAUUUGCCAUCACUGCUCAAUCCCUAUCACGGCUUUCUUACAGGAGGAAGGCAAGGAGAGAAUUGAAGACUAACAGUAGAGAAAAGAGUUAGGACUUAACACACAUGAUGGCAUAAGGAAUCAUAACAAAAUCAAAUUAUAAGCAUAUACUUGAACUAUCUGUGAUUUCCUUAAUAUGGUAUGCUAACAGCUUUAUUUGUUUUAUUUCCUUUUUCUAAUGUUUUAAUCAUGCACUUGGGAAUACCCAGGUAGCUGACUGUGAAAUAUCCCAGUCACUGAGCUAACAUGAUUGCUACUGUGCUUUUGACAUGAACAGACCAUGGAAAUAUUUUCAUCAUUGCUACUCAGCAUAAACUAUACUUAAUAAAAAGUUGUUGAAAGAAAACAUGAAUCAAUAAUAGAUUUUCAGAGCAAAUCUAGUGAUUCAGCCCACAGGACCAAUGAAAGUACUGUGGAAGCUUUCCUCACUUAGAGAAGGUGCUGGGCAUUCAAAUGUCUUCAUGUGUUGUAUUUCAUAUGAGCUGUAUAUCAAUUGUUAAUGAAAAUCUCCACAUAUAUCCUUACAGAAAUGCUUUAUUCAAGAAAUGCUAAGGGUAGUGUACAGACAAGUGAUUUACUCAGUUACUAUUCAAGAAAGGGUAAGCAAAGUAAUUUAUUUAUAGUUGUGCCAGUUAGUCAUAAUACAUAUUAUGUGAUAUUUGGUUCACAGAGUUGUUUUCAUGUGAUUAUUAUGAGGACUAUCUAUAGUUGUGGAAGGGGGAUGGAAAAGUUGUGUAUAGUUAGCUGGUAUCUCUACAAGUUUGAGAGUUUCCCCAUUAAAUGUUAUCAAUAUACCAAGGUUUUAAUAAAAACAAGUAAGGUUAAUUAUUUGUAUUUGAUAAACAAACUCCAAAUACAACCCAUCUAGAAAUAGAUAUUUUAUUAUAUAUGUGCUAUAAAUAUAUCUAUAUAGUACAAAUAGAAAUGUGUGAUGCAUAUAUACCAUGUUAUAUAUGUAUAUCUGUGUGUACACACUGAUUCUGUAAUAUGUGCACAACUAGAUGUGUGUUAUAUUGAUAUCUUCAGGGUCUGCACUGUGAACUGCCCUGGAGAUCAUGGCCACUUUAAAAACAGAAGUUCUUUUGAAACUUCAUUUACUACUCUGCUUUAAGAAAGACCUACUUUGUAGCUGAAUUAUAUGUUCUUUCCUAGAGUAAUAGUAAGCAGCUAGUAUGUUCAAAUCUUUCAAAACAAAAGUCAAGGAAAAAAUAUCUUCAAGCUGGCAAUGUAUUUAUUUAAAUUGCGGUUUUUUGAUUGUUGGUCUAGGUUGUGUGUUUCUCUUUUAUGUAGCGCCUUUUAAGAAAUACUGGGGUUUUUUUGUGUGUGUGUGUCGGUGAAAGCACAAGUGUUUUUGAUGUAUAUAGCAAGAAGAGAAAAAAGUUUCCAGAUAGCUUUGCUGCAUAGGAUAAUUGCUACUGAGCCUUUCUUAUACCAUCUGUGGAAAGGAAGGAUGAAGCUUACUCUGUAGGUUCAUUCUGAUCAACAAUAUCUUCUGUUGUUUGUGCAUAGCAAUGGACUAUUACUGCUUUAUCAUUUGUACAAUUGUAAAAUAAAUUAAAUUACUUGUUUUUCAA